rnacentral:piRNA from 1 species
UGUGCGUCCUGAUAACUGCUUCAACAGAAUU